rnacentral:lncRNA from 1 species
UGUUUUGCUCAGGUUUGCUGCUCAAUAGUCAAAGUGCUUUUUGAAUCUGCAUGACAUGUUUGAUGUACAUGUCACGGGGGGAAGCUUGAUUUUAUUUAAGCAUGCUUUUACUUUGAAUUUGCUGUGUUUUUGUCUUAUUUAUUAUUGCAUGCUUUUAUUUUGAAGUGUGUUUGUGUUACGUUGGUUUUACUUCCCCACCGGAGACAUACCUUAAUCAAGCAUAAGGACUUACACCUGGCACCCAGAGAGGGGAGUGACUGUUCUUGGAUAAAAAGGACACUGGAAGAUACCCGGGGGACGAGGGAGGACACAGAGGGCACGAGGGAGGACACGGAGGUCACAACGGGCCGGACAGCAGGAAGCAGACAGAGAGACAGAGCAGAUCAUCGCACUGGAAGAGGUCACAACGGGCCGGACAGCAGGAAGCAGACAGAGAGACAGAGCAGAUCAUCGCACUGGAAGAGGUCUGAAGAGACACCGGAGCAAACACCGACCGUUAGCGGCUAUAAUUGGGAGAAGGUAAAACUUCUCCCUCCCGCGUAAGUCCCGUUUCAGACCGGUGUUUGUGUAGUGUGUAAUAUAUAAAGUUGUGCCUUGUUAAAGGACAUUGACUGGCCCUGAGUUUCCCUCGACAGGCUGCCGAAGAGCGGAGCCAGGUGAAGAGCAGGUGGUCGCCACCAGAGACCCGCGACUGCCGUUGUUGACCUCCCACUCCAUCCGUGCCACAUUAUUUUAGCUGGGUUUUAGUUGUUUGUGUUCUUUGUUUAGUUUAUUUGAAGGUAGAGCUUUUAGUUGUUUUUACUUAUUUUAAAAUAAAUUGUGUUCAACUGUGUUCCACUGGCUGUACUCAUUGUUUUAAAAAUAACACUGUUUACUGCUCUCCCCCGACAUAAAAGAACCUGUUUACCCUAACUUUAAUUUGGUGAUCCUAAGAGGUCCUAGGCCUCAGUUAAACCUAGGUGGCGUUGUCGGCACUUGUGUUUUAAUUUAUCCACCCUUAGCACGGCUCACAUACACAUAUGCAACCACAUACGUAGAGGGUUAGGGCUAACCCUCUAAUACCAAACAUAAGGCAGUCAAAGAA